UUAAAGUAGUAAGGGCGCAGGGUGGAUGCCUUGGCACUAAGAGCCGAUGAAAGACGUGAUAAGCUGCGAAAAGCUUCGGGGAGGAGCACAUAUCCAAUGAUCCGGAGAUAUCUGAAUGGGGAAACCCGGCAGAGGAAACCUCUGUCAGCGUGCAGUGAAUACAUAGCUGUACGUGGGGAACCCGGGGAACUGAAACAUCUAAGUACCCGGAGGAAGAGAAAGAAAAUUUAUCGAUUUCCAAAGUAGCGGCGAGCGAAAUGGAAAGAGCCCAAACCGUGAUGCGUGCAUCGCGGGGUUCGGACUGCGUUGUGGCAGACGUAAGAUAGGAGAACGGACUGGGAAGUCCGGCCGGAGAGAGUGAAAGCCUCGUAUCCGAAAUCCCAAGUCGCCUAGCAGGAUCCAGAGUAGGACGAGACACGAGAAACCUUGUCUGAACGAGCGGGGACCACCCCGUAAGGCUAAAUACUUCUUAGUGACCGAUAGCGCAUAGUACUGUGAAGGAAAGGUGAAAAGUACCCCGGGAGGGGAGUGAAAGAGAACCUGAAACCCUGUGUCUACAAGCUGUGGGACCUCUUUAUAUGAGGGACUGCGUACUUUUUGUAGAACGGUCCGGCGAGUUGUGCGUACUGGCGAGGUUAAGGACUUAAGGUCUGGAGCCGAAGUGAAAGCAAGCGUUAAGAGCGCGUCAAGUCAGUGAGUGCAGACCCGAAACCGGGUGACCUAUCCAUGUCCAGGUUGAAGCUUCCGUAAGAGGAAGUGGAGGACCGAACCCACAUCCGUUGAAAAGGGUGGGGAUGAGGUGUGGAUAGCGGAGAAAUUCCAAUCGAACCCGGAGAUAGCUGGUUCUCCUCGAAAUAGCUUUAGGGCUAGCCUCAUGAGAGUCUUAUGGAGGUAGAGCACUGAAUUGCCUAGGGGGCGUCAAAGCUUACCAAAGCAUAUCAAACUCCGAAUGCCAUCAAGAUGAUUCAUGGGAGUCAGACCAUACGAGAUAAGUUGGAUGGUCAAAAGGGAAAGAGCCCAGACCUACAGCUAAGGUCCCAAAGUGCGUGUUAAGUGGAAAAGGAUGUGGGGAUUCUAAGACAACUAGGACGUUGGCUUAGAAGCAGCCAUUCAUUGAAAGAGUGCGUAAUAGCUCACUAGUCGAGAGUCCCUGCGCCGAAAAUGUCCGGGGCUGAAACACGACACCGAAGCUUAGGAAUGUGUAAACAUUGGUAGAGGAGCAUUGCUGGCGGGAUGAAGCCAUACCGUAAGGAGUGGUGGACUGCCAGGAAGAGAGAAUGCCGGAAUGAGUAGCGAGAUGAAGGUGAGAAUCCUUCAGGCCGAAUAUCUAAGGUUUCCAGAGUAAAGCUGAUCUGCUCUGGGUAAGUCGGGACCUAAGGCGAGGUCGAAAGACGUAGUCGAUGGAUAACAGGUUGAAAUUCCUGUACCGCAUAUAAACAGAACUGUGGGGACACAGACAGGGAAUGGAAUCCGGGAAUGGAGAUCCCGGUGCAAGCGAGGUAGGAGUGCUGUUGGCAAAUCCGCAGCACGAUCUGAAGACGUGACGCGUACCGAACAUAAGUAGGGAAGUCCAGGCCCCUGGCUGUCAAGAAAAGCCGCUAUCGUUUUAUAUGUGCCCGUACCGCAAACCGACACAGGUGGAUGAGGAGAGAAUCCUAAGGCCGACGGGAGAAGUAUUGUUAAGGAACUCGGCAAAAUGACUCCGUAACUUCGGGAGAAGGAGUGCCAUGAGAGUGGCCGCAGAGAAAUGGCCCAAGCAACUGUUUAGCAAAAACACAGGUCUAUGCAAAACCGCAAGGUGAAGUAUAUGGGCUGACGCCUGCCCGGUGCUGGAAGGUUAAGGGGAGAGGUUAGCGCAAGCGAAGCUUUGAACUUAAGCCCCAGUAAACGGCGGCCGUAACUAUAACGGUCCUAAGGUAGCGAAAUUCCUUGUCGGGUAAGUUCC
rnacentral:rRNA from 1 species